ACAAGCGAAAAGCUUAAAACUCAAAGGACUUGACGGUGUUCCACACCGACCUAGAGGAGCCUGUCCUAUAAUCGACACCCCACGAUAAACCUUACCCCACCUUGAAACACCAGCCUAUAUACCGCCGUCGUCAGCCUGCCUAAUGAUAGCACUAAAGCAGACAAAACAGCUAUUUACCCACUAAAACGUCAGGUCAAGGUGUAGCUAAUGGUGGGGUUAGAGAUGGGCUACAUUCUCUAAAUACUAGAGCACACACCUCAAGCAAUAUGAAACACAAGCCAAUAAGGCGGAUUUAGCAGUAAACACAGCAAGACAAGCCGUAUUGAAGCCCCGCUCUGGAACGCGUACACACCGCCC
rnacentral:rRNA from 1 species